GUCAACAAAUUUUGUAUUGUUGACAUGGCUUUGUUGCAAUUUAAUCAAGGAAAUUACACUCGAUGCAGAUAUAUUUCUAACAAUACAAAAACAAACAA
rnacentral:pre_miRNA from 1 species